rnacentral:misc_RNA from 1 species
AAUGUUCAUGACAUGAAAAACCAUAAACGAAGUUUUCUCAGUAGCAAAAGAACUCAAACACCCUCCCCUUCCCCCAGAGCUUGGGGCACACUUAUGUUUCUCACCAACAAUUGCAUUAAAAAAACUGAACACAUAUACUACUGCAAGCAUGCGGUUUCAUCAUAUGUUCCUCCUAGACAAUCCUAAAACCAUGCUUCUAAUAGAAAAGAAGCUGGUUCACAUCUAAUAGCGUAGCCAUAUUUAGAAGUUCUGUACUUUCGGUGCACGCCACUAAGCUUCCCAAUUGCUGCCUUCUGAUGGAAAGAAACCAUCAAUUUCGAGCAUUCCAAAAGUUGAUCUUUGACAUAGCUGCUAUGCUUCUCACAGGUUUUAUUCCACUCCUUAGACACACCGAGAGUGCAUUGUGCAGUAAAGAUAGCAGCAGCUGCAAGCAUUG